CCCCGUGACCCAGGGCAGCCUUGCCCACCCAGAAUCCCCGGCCCAGACAGUGCCAGCCGCCGGGCCACCUCCCCCUCCCAUCCACUCAGACUCCUGAAGCGGAGGAAAGUGCCUGAGCAGCCAGGCGAGGUCCCCAACUCCGCCAGUGAGCCGGCCAGCCUCACCUACCGUAGGCGCCGUCUUGGUCCAGGAGGGAGUCGGGCUCCAUGGCGCGGGCCCCCAGCCCCCGGGCCCCCUGGUUUAUGAACCGGGGCUGUCUCCAUGGGCGUGCGGGCUUCUCCUUUUGUAUUCCAUCUGGCGGCUUCUCCAACUAGAUGACUGGCCUGGCUGGAAACAUUAGAAGGGACCGAGGCGGCGAGAUGUCUAAAAUAGGAAGACGCCGGGGACGGUUGGCCUGGCUGCCCGCGACGCUGGCUGCGGGGAUCUGGCCCGGCUGUACAGAUGGAAAAGCUAAGAGGGUCUUGCUAAGUUGCUGAAGCUGGCCUCAAACUCUCGAUCCUCCUGCCUCAGCCUCCCGAGACACCGGGAUUACAGUGUGCACCACCACACCUAGCUGCCAUGAAUAUCUUGACUGUACCCUGUGCACACCUGUCUAAUGAUCUCCAAGUGGUAAAACCGUCAAUACAGAGUUGCUGGGUUGGAAAGCACCUGCUUUGGUACAUUCCCAGCGUGACUGCAAAAGGCAUUCAGACCCCAUCUGGAUCUUAUGUUCAUUCCACCAACAGUUACAGCCAGCCUCCUGUCCAAGGCCAAACGGAGCCUCCGAGGAGCCCACAGCCUCCGGCUGCUCCCCACCUGCUGAGCUGGGGUGGAACUGAUGUGACCGGCACCCAGCAUGUCGCUGCGCUCAGGCCGUCACAGGUGUGCUCCAGCCUGGCUCCUGCUCCUGCCUCCUGCCUGGCUCUAAGAACGGGGUUUCUCCCAGAGAGGACAUGCUCAGCCAUGAGGACCUGCCUGGGUCCAAAUCCCAGCUCCCAAUCACCUGCUGGGCCCAUGAUUCCCCUCAUUGGUGCCUUGGAUUCCUCAUCUGUAACGGGAAGGCUGAGAGGAGAACGGGGUCACCAAGACAGAAAGUCAGCUCUGCUUCCUUGGAUCCUUCAAAGGCCUCAAAACCUAGGAUUGGAACCUUCCAACAAGUUCUGAGCCACUCCCUGGUCCCAGCGCAUGACACGAGGCAGGCCCUGUCAGCGACCCCAGGGAGUGUUCAGGUUGGCGAGUCAGGAAAAACCUCAAGAAGCCUGAAAAUUGACACGGCAAUGACAGCAGCCCACGCGAUUCAGCAAACUUUAGCCAGGGACCGUGCCAAGCGCUGGAGACCCAGAAAUUAGUGAGCCAGAGAACCAGACCAUAAGUAUGUCCACUCAGAUUGGGGGUGGGGGACACCCACCGGGUGAGGGCAGGGCUUGCAACCAUUGCUUAGAGGGCUGGACGGACUCAAGAAAGCAAAGGCCCCGCUCGUUAGACCACAGAGCUGGCCGAGCGGCUCAGGACAGAGGUCACACAUCAGGAAUUGGCCAGCUUUCUGGAAAGGAUCAGAGAGUGGACAUUUUAAGCUUCCCAUCACUGUUGCCAGCACUCGAACACUGACGUCAUCAGUGGAAAGCACCACAGACAGCCGGCAAAUGAAUGAGCACGGCUGUGCACCAAUAAGACUUCACUCGUUGACACUCAAAUUGGAAUUUCAUAUUUUCUUCUUGUGUCACAAAUAAUAUUCUUCUUUUGAUAUUUUUUCCCAACCAUUUAAAACUGCAAAAAAACAAUUCUUAGCCCACAGGUUGUACAAGAAUAGGCAACAGACCGUAGCCCUGCCACUUCUGUGUGGGGAUGCUGGAGACCAUGCUCGAGCACUGGAAUUCUCCAGCAAGGUGUUCAGGGUGACAUGGUCAGAGACUGGCAGCAGGCGCCAUACUUACAGCCCUGGAUGAUGAAUCGCCACUAAUUCUUCAACCUACCUUCCUUCUAACCUGUCUGCCAGUCAUUGCUAGCCAUUAAGAGGCUAGGAAAAUGUGUGUUUCCAUCAACUGCUUUCACAUGCAUAGGGAAAAUUUCUUUUAAAAUGUAAUUACAGAAGA